rnacentral:rRNA from 1 species
UACGCAGGGUGCAAGCGUUAAUCGGAAUUACUGGGCGUAAAGCGUGCGCAGGCGGUUUUGUAAGUCUGUCGUGAAAUCCCUGGGCUCAACCUAGGAAUUGCGAUGGAGACUGCAAGGCUAGAAUCUGGCAGAGGGGGGUAGAAUUCCACGUGUAGCGGUGAAAUGCGUAGAUAUGUGGAGGAACAUCAGUGGCGAAGGCGGCUUCCUGGCUUAAAACUGACACUGUGGCGCGAAAGCGUGGGUAGCAAACAGG